ACGCUUAACCGACUGAGCCACUCAGGCAUCCCCUUUUGCUGAUCAUUUUAACGAGGACCUUUGAUGUUUCCUAAUUGCUGCCUGCUCCAGAGAAUGCCAGCAGACAUGACAAAGCCCGAGCCGGGCACAUCUGUCUAGCCUUGGAGUGGCGAGUGGGGCGGGGGAGGGCAAAGUAGCACGUUCUGAGGAGAUGACCCACACCUAGAGCAGCACUUUGCAGAAAUCACGCCACCCCUCCCAGGAUGGCGGAGGCAAAGGACUUGCUGACAAGUUGAGGUGAACCAAAUCCUGGUUCCCGGGUUGGAACAUCCUGGCUUAUCCAGUGGGUGAGAAAGGAAGGAUCACGCUUCUGGAAGGAGGAAGAGCCGGAACAAGCCAUGGGCUCUGGUGGUCACCCUGCAACCAGCUGAGACCCGACAGACAGUGUCUUGUCAGAUGAUGGAUGAGCCACGCCUUCGGAAGCAGCUGAGUGUGCG